GACUGUAGGGACCGGGGUCGGGGAGACCUUUCUCUUCAUGGGGAAGCAGCAGCAGAGCGCACAAGAAGAGGAGGGGAGGGAGGGGCCUAAGCAUAGGGAUGGGCGACAGACCAAGCUAGGUUAAACAAGAAGAGGGGGCGCGUCAGACGACGCAGGCUGCCGCUGCCCGGUGCCGCGCGUACGGGACGGCCGUGGCCGUGGCCGUGGCCUCGCCGCGCUUAACUAAGGGAGAGUACAACCGUAUCCAACAGUCUUUAGUAGUCGUCCCCUUUUUUACCAAGUCGAGAAAGACGUUCACGGCCGUCUGCUGCCGUCACAACUAUGUCUACGACACUCUCGCUCCUCCAGAGAAGACCUGUUCCGACUCAGCCACUAGUUCAGCCAACAUUCCAGGCCUCCGGCCAUACUCCGAGCCUACACCGACACGUCAUGGCAGAGCAGCCAAGUAGACGAGCUAGGCGCACUGGUCGCACUGGAGAAGGAGCUAGAGGACCUCUACUUCCUAAGCUCCGCGCUGCAACGGCGAGCGGACGACGCCUACUAAAAGCUAUUCUUCGGACUCUUCCGGCCGAGACAAAAUCGCUUCUUCACAGUAUACGACCUCUUCAAGAAGGUUCCUUUGGGACUCGCCUAUGACGUUACCAAAUCGGUGAAACGACGAUGACCCCUCAGUCGUGUGUUUUUCCCACGAGCCCGUGAACGAGUCAAACGUAAACACUUAGCACUACAAACGACCCUCCUCGAACUCACCUUUCCGUCCGUACUAGUUAAACAGAUAAACUACAUACUCCCCUUAAAGUUUCUAUACACCGUUCAUCAACUUCUAAAAGACUACCUCCUCGUCAAAAGGUGAGACAGAGUCAUAUAAGAAUAAGUAGAUCUGCUUGUUUCCGAAGAAGCAAAGAAUUUUUGUAAUCCCUUCGAGUAGUCAGGCUUACGUGUCACGUGUUUCAAUCGUAAGGGUACGACGACCCAACUCCAAGAAAACAGCCGUGUAUAACUAGUCUAUAGAGAACUGCUUGAAUAGGAUAACUUGACACAGUAACGGUUCCCAUCUGUUGAAACCGUGGAGUACUUGCUGCUUCUUGUGCUCCUUCUUGCUCCCUCUUACCUGCUCGAACACUCCUGGUACUUACUGAACUGACUACGACUAGUGAAACGAGAGUAUUUCCUAAAGUACCCAUGUUUCAAAGGACUACGUGAAUUCACCUAUCCGUAGGUCAGGACCCAUUAAAAGACACCAAACAGUUUUAAUACGUUUAGUCGACUAAGAACACUUAGAGACAAGUGACCAUUGUCGUAUCUUAAAGCGUUCCGAAUACUAAUGAGUAACCAAGUUUUGCUGCCCAUGAGUCAAAGUGUAUGAAGUCUAUGACUACUGUUCCUAGACUGAUCUUCAUCAGUAUUUUUUUCUUUUUCUCUAUUCUUCUCUUCUGCCGUAUCUAUACUAAGGCUGCUCCUAUUACAACUAGUCGACGAACUUGACCCUUGAAAGUGACCCUUCUCCCGAUAACUUAGUGUUACACCUUCGACCAUGGACAGUUGACUACUGAAGAGACGAGGAACCCUGUAACGACUGUAUGGCCUAGUGGAAAGAUGAACAAUAGAAUCUCAUACCGACUUUACCCGAACGAAAUCUACUAGGAGGAGGAACACUGCGUACACACCGUUAGUAUGAUCGAAGAGACCACUUCAUUAGAAACUUGUACCUCGACAAAUAUGUACGUAAAAGGGUUUACCGUACACGUUAGAAGUCUAGUAAGUAGGACUACUAAGUACGUAAAACCUACACAAUUGACAUACUCAAGCGUGCUCUGGGAUCUGGUUUUACAGAGGACCUCAAGUAGGCUCAUCUAGAAUCACAACUGAUGCCCCAUCAUGUUUGAAUAGACGUCAAGAAGGCAUUAUACUGGGCCGCUAUGUAGCGUCAAACAUUGACGAGAGCCAAAAAGACUAAUUUGCAUAAGAUGCACGCGUAGUACUCGUGGUCGAUUCUUAAAACAUGAUGUAUACGUAGACAAAAAGACAUGGCCGACGUCAAGGACCCACGUCAGAGGUAAAAAAAAGUGUUACCUUUUAUGUUAUAUUUAGUCACUUACACUACUGCUCUUUAGUGAUAAACCGUGGACUUGAGUUAAAAAGUAAG
rnacentral:rRNA from 1 species